AUUGAACGCUGGCGGCAGGCCUAACACAUGCAAGUCGAACGAGUGGCGGACGGGUGAGUAAUGUCUGGGAAACUGCCCGAUGGGGGGGGAUAACUUAUGGAAAAAGUCUCUAAUACCGCAAACUCUCGUAUGCGCCUAGAUGGGAUUAGCUAGUAGGUGGGGUAACGGCUCACCUAGGCGACGAUCCCUAGCUGGUAUGAGAGGAUGACCAGCCACACUGGAACUGAGACACGGUCCAGACUCCUACGGGAGGCAGCAGUGGGGAAUAUUGCACAAUGGGCGCAAGCCUGAUGCAGCCAUGCCGCGUGUAUGAAGAAGGCCUUCGGGUUGUAAAGUACUUUCAGCGAGGAGGCGUUACUCGCAGAAGAAGCACCGGCUAACUCCGUGCCAGCCGCCGCGGUAAUUC
rnacentral:rRNA from 1 species